rnacentral:miRNA from 1 species
UCCUGGCUGUGCCAACUUUGU